GAUGAACGCUGGCGGCGUGCCUAAUACAUGCAAGCCGAGCGAACAGAUGAGGAGCUUGCUCCUCUGACGUUAGCGGCGGACGGGUGAGUAACACGUGGAUAACCUACCUAUAAGACUGGGAUAACUUCGGGAAACCGGAGCUAAUACCGGAUAAUAUAUUGAACCGCAUGGUUCAAUAGUGAAAGACGGUUUUGCUGUCACUUAUAGAUGGAUCCGCGCCGCAUUAGCUAGUUGGUAAGGUAACGGCUUACCAAGGCAACGAUGCGUAGCCGACCUGAGAGGGUGAUCGGCCACACUGGAACUGAGACACGGUCCAGACUCCUACGGGAGGCAGCAGUAGGGAAUCUUCCGCAAUGGGCGAAAGCCUGACGGAGCAACGCCGCGUGAGUGAUGAAGGUCUUCGGAUCGUAAAACUCUGUUAUUAGGGAAGAACAAAUGUGUAAGUAACUAUGCACGUCUUGACGGUACCUAAUCAGAAAGCCACGGCUAACUACGUG
rnacentral:rRNA from 1 species